rnacentral:rRNA from 1 species
AGAGUCUCGUUGGUGACCAGCGGAGGGAUCAUUACCGAGUUUACAACUCCCGAACCCCUGUGAACAUACCAAUUGUUUGCCUCGGCGGAUCAGCCCGCUCCCGGUAAAACGGAACGGCCCGCCAGAGGACCCCCUAAACUCUGUUUCUAUAUGUAACUUCUGAGUAAAACCAUAAAUAAAUCAAAACUUUCAACAACGGAUCUCUUGGUUCUGGCAUCGAUGAAGAACGCAUCAAAAUGCGAUAAGUAAUGUGAAUUGCAGAAUUCAGUGAAUCAUCGAAUCUUUGAACGCACAUUGCGCCCGCCAGUAUUCUGGCGGGCAUGCCUGUUCGAGCGUCAUUUCAACCCUCAAGCCCCCGGGUUUGGUGUUGGGGAUCGGCGAGCCUCACGGCAAGCCGGCCCCGAAAUACAGUGGCGGUCUCGCUGCAGCUUCCAUUGCGUAGUAGUAAAACCCUCGCAACUGGUACGCGGCGCGGCCAAGCCGUUAAACCCCCAACUUCUGAAUGUUGACCUCGGAUCAGGUAGGAAUACCCGCUGAACUUAAGCAUAUCAAUAAGCGGAGGA